CAGGGGGUUCAAACCAAAGACAUCUAAAUAAAAGGAGACGAAACAAUUUACAUUUUACCGCGAUCACGAACCGUGUUGCACAAAAAUCGAUGAUGCCAAUUUUAAGCGACCGGUGGUAGAUUUCGGCUGAUUACGGUUUGAGUUCUAAAUGCUAUUGUCAUUACAAGGUCAUUAGGCUAAAUAUUUGUGUAGAUAUAUAAUUUUAAUUAUAAUACAUUAAUUAUACUAGGAUUAUACCUUUGAAAUUAUUAUUAGUUUUCUAAUUAAAUUAUAUUAAAAUUACGAUUAAAAUAUAUUAGGGAAAUUACUAAGACAAUCCGGCAUCGCUACGGAUUAAUUUUUACUACGAAUUGUCGGAAUCUGUAGAAAUUACGCUGACAUUUGACGUAUUCAUUCAACUUUUGUCCAACGGAGCAUUGUUGCGAGUUUUCUGCGACCGUUGGAAGUGUUUGUGGAUUUCGGACAACUUUCGAAUAAUUAUUAGUGUUUAUUGCAAAGAAAACUAUUUAAAGUAGUUUUUUAACUAUCUACAAUGGUUCACCAGUGCAUAGUUUGUUAAAGGUGGACUAUUCUAACUCCUGAUUGAUAUUUGGACGCGUUCCUAUAAUUACUGAGCUUAGACAAUGAUCGAUUUCACUCUUGAAUUUGAAAAAUCAAACUAAUGUGUGUCCAAAUUUGUUCUGAUGAUUUUGAUAA
rnacentral:lncRNA from 1 species